CGUGAAGUCUCGUGAGAGUGCUUAGCGGGAGUGAGAUUCAGACCAGGAAGUGAAUGGAGCACGGAAUGCCCGCCUUAAUGGACGGCCUCCGUUCUCUGUCUUCUCCAUGCCGAUUAAUGUGAACCAGGAGAUCUUAAGCUGCGGAGGAAGGCAACAAACGUACCUGUGGGAGCAUACUGAGCCCCUCCCCCACCUGCAGAGCCCCCAGCAAGGACUUGAAAAGACAACACCUCCUACCACUGUUGUGCAUGCUCUUUUCAUGCAAAUAAAGCACCACGCACGCACGCACACGCAUACACACACGCUUCGGGCGUGUAACAGGAACAGGAAGUAACAGUCUUUGCACAAACACUCCCAAUGAAAACUGGUUUGUAUUUCGGGAUAUUCGUUGGUGUGACGCGGCAGACGUGUUCUUUCUAGCCUCAGACUUCACCGGAGUACUGCAGGAGGAAGGCCAAAAAGUACAUCUUAGGCUCAACGGAGAUCUUGAUGAAGGACACCUCAUUGGUCCUGGAGUGACCCGGCUACUGAACUACACACUUUCACAAAAUCCUUUGGGGGAACUAGGGGAUGGCGAAGGGGGGGCGUGCGGUUGGAAUAGCUGGAGCCAUUGAGGGAACAGCAUUUACGUUCAGUUCAGGGCAAUGUAGAGGAAAGAGCAAAACGGAAAGCUCCCGGGAAAAACAAGAUGUUGGGAACCCAAAAGAACCACGAGAUGGCCUAAGGAACAAAGAACUGGUUCCCAAGGAAAAGAGUGGUGCUGAAAUAGGAACAAGGAGAUGUAGGAGACAACAGGAGAAGUAGGUGGUGCGCAGGAGUCAGAAGUAGAUAUUCAACAGUGAGGUCUCAACGUAAGAAGGAUGCUUUAAAGAGAGUAAGAAGCAGCACUUUACAGGCCGGAUUGUGGAGGAGCCUUCUCAUCAACCGCCUGCACUAUUAGAGGACCUGGGACCAUGUCUCUGAAACUGUCCCACCCCCUCCAGCUAUAAACGGGGGAAUAAAAUUCAUGAAUAUUCUAUUUUUUA